GACGAACGCUGGCGGCGCGCCUAACACAUGCAAGUCUAACGAGCGUUAUAGAGCUUUCUUUCUUGAUCGAGUGGCGAACGGGUGAGUAACGCGUGAGGAACCUUCCUCAACUCGAGUGACAACAGUUGGAAACGACUGCUAAUACCGCUUAAGCCCACGCUGCCGCCUGGCACAGAGGGCAAUGGAGCAAUCCGCUUUGAGAUGGCCUCGCGUCCGAUUAGCUAGUUGUUGAGGUAACGGCCCACCGAGGCGACGAUCGGUAGCCGGACUGAGAGGUUGAACGGCGACAUUGGGAGUGAGACACGGCCCAGACUCCUAAGGGAGGCAGCAGGGGGGAAUAUUAGACAAGGGGGGAAAGCCUGAGGCAGCGACGCCGAGUGGAGGAAGAAGGUCUUCGGAUUGUAAACUCCUGUUGUUGGGGAAGAUAAUGACGGUACCCAACAAGGAAGUGACGGCUAACUACGUG
rnacentral:rRNA from 1 species